GCCGGGUGUGGUGGCCCACGCCUAUAAUCCCAGUGGCCUGGGAGACUGAGGCAGGAGGAUCGUGAGUUCAAAAUCAGCAUUAGCAAAAGCGAGGUGCUGAGCAACUCAGUGAGACCCUGUUUCUA
rnacentral:sRNA from 1 species